CAAAUGAAGAUUGCGAACCCUCAUAUAUUUUUGGGAAUAUGGCCCAACUGUCUCUACCUGGCGACCGGAAAUUGCCGGACUAUGAAGGGAAAAUGGUGACGU
rnacentral:ncRNA from 2 species